AGGAUGAUGAGAAUAUUUGGUCCGUGUUGCUGAAGUGUUCUUGAUAACAACUUAUCCAAACUCUGAUUUUU
rnacentral:snoRNA from 1 species